GUGGCACUUGGUGAAAGCACAUGCUGUGACCUUCUCGAGAUUCUCCUUCCCUUGUGCUCUCCGUCGUGGUAUUUAUAUUCCGUGCGCAGCACGCAAUUAAUAUUAGUUGAAGACCAUUGCUUCGUCUUUCCGGAUCUCGCUUGUCUUGUUCGUCGCGCUGUUUAAGCUUUGAUGCGUAGCAGCUAGCUCUCGUCAACGCUCUCCUUGAGUAUAUUCCUUCCUUUUCCAAAUCCAGUCGAUCCCUUCUUGCCGCUGUGAUUUGCCUUCGCUACUUGUUUACUAAGGCGCUGCGAAGCGUAGCGUCAGCAAAUAACUUGAGCCGACUGUUCAAGUCUCCAGCAAUCUUGCUGUGGGCGCAGUGUUCUUCUUUGCUAUAACAUCGGCACAGUGACCUAAACAAAUAAUUGCGUGUCAAUCUAUUGGUCCCUGGUUGAAAUACCGGCUGUUCACAGCCAUUCUUUUAUGAAAUUUUCGCGAAGUCUUUUACGAUUCAAGGUGCGGACACGGGUGGCGGCUGUGGACAACAGUGAAAGCAGCGGACUUUAAGGAAACAAAAAUUGUCCACACGUCCUCAAGUAGCAGCUCAGCAUGACAGACUGGCUUACGAAAGGAGGCGUAAUGUACUUUGCAAUAGCAUUAUUUCUUGCCUUUGUUUCUGAGAACCAAACGGAAGGAGCUGAUUGCCUUGAACAAGAAUACCCCGGCAUCCUUAAAAAACCUGUAUAUGUCAACGGCAGUCACUGCAUUGUGAGUAAGACUGUCCAGUUGCCAAAUGGAACAAGUGAAUCAUUUCGGCGACCCUGCAUCAAGCUCACGUGCCUUGUCCAUGAAAAAAAACUGAAAGAAGAAUACUGCAAGCCAUCUGACAAUUACGACGAAAACGGCUUUCAACUUGAACCAUCAGGAGACGGA
rnacentral:lncRNA from 1 species